rnacentral:lncRNA from 1 species
AGCGGCGGACCGGGCUCCCAAGUCCCCUGGAAGGGCGCCGGAGAGGGUGAGAAGCCCCGUCGUGCCCGACCCUGGUCGCCCAACGAUGGCGUCUGUCCUGCCGAGUCGGGUUGUUUGGCGGGAAUGCAGCCCAAUAGGGCGGUAAUUCCGUCCCAAGGCUAAAUACUGGGCGUGAGACCGAUAGCAAACAAGGUACCAUCCCGUGUGCGAGAGUAGCGAGGGAAAGAUGAAAAAGGAACUUUGAAAAGAGAGUUAAAGAGUGGCUAUGAAAUUGUCGAGGGAAGCGACACUGGGGGCCGGCGAUGCCGUCCCGGUCGGAUGUGGAACGGUGUCAUGUCGGUUCCGCCGAUCGUCUCGGGACGUGGACCGGUGCGCGAUUGGUACUGGGGCCAAAUUUGCCCAGGCUGUUUGAUAUGCCUGUGGAGAUUGCCGUUGUGCCGAUCGGUGGUUUGGCAGCGCGCGGCCGGUCACGGCGUGCUUCGGGCACCUCGUGCUUCCUGGCCCGGCCUGCGGGCACCCCAUUCGGCCCGUCUUGCAAAACACGGACAAGGAGUCUGAAUGUGUGCGAGUGUCAACGGGUGGAGUAAACCCGCAAGCGCAGGAAGCUGAUUGGCGGUGGAUCCCCCUCGUGGGGUGCG